rnacentral:tRNA from 1 species
GCAGAAGUGGCUCAAUGGCAGAGCAAAUGACUUGUAAUCAUUCGGUUGUAGGUUCGACUCCUAUCUUCUGCUCCA